rnacentral:rRNA from 1 species
UCAAACUGGAGGAAAGGUGGGGAUGACGUCAAGUCAUCAUGCCCCUUAUGACCUGGGCUACACACGUGCUACAAUGGGCAGUACAACGAGAAGCGAACCCGCGAGGGUAAGCGGAUCUCUUAAAGCUGUUCUCAGUUCGGACUGCAGGCUGCAACUCGCCUGCACGAAGCUGGAAUCGCUAGUAAUCGCGGAUCAGCACGCCGCGGUGAAUACGUUCCCGGGCCUUGUACACACCGCCCGUCACACCAUGGAAGUCUGCAAUGCCCAAAGUCGGUGGGAUAACCUUUAUAGGAGUCAGCCGCCUAAGGCAGGGCAGAUGACUGGGGUGAAGUCGAAGCAAUAAUGCAC